rnacentral:rRNA from 1 species
GAUGAACGCUGGCGGCGUGCCUAAUACAUGCAAGUCGAGCGAACGGACGAGAAGCUUGCUUCUCUGAUGUUAGCGGCGGACGGGUGAGUAACACGUGGAUAACCUACCUAUAAGACUGGGGUAACUUCGGGAAACCGUAGCUAAUACCGGAUAAUAUUUUGAACCGCAUGGUUCAAAAGUGAAAGACGGUCUUGCUGUCACUUAUAGACGGAUCCGCGCUGCAUUAGCUAGUUGGUAAGGUAACGGCUUACCAAGGCAACGAUGCAUAGCCGACCUGAGAGGGUGAUCGGCCACACUGGAACUGAGACACGGUCCAGACUCCUACGGGAGGCAGCAGUAGGGAAUCUUCCGCAAUGGGCGAAAGCCUGACGGAGCAACGCCGCGUGAGUGAUGAAGGUCUUCGGAUCGUAAAACUCUGUUAUUAGGGAAGAACAUAUGUGUAAGUAACUGUGCACAUCUUGACGGUACCUAAUCAGAAAGCCACGGCUAACUACGUG